AAAAAACGAACUGAAAAAUAAUUGUAUUUUUAAGAAAUGCAGUUUUUAAAAUAUUCCUUGCACCGCCUGUCCAGUGCUUUUAACAAUCACACUGGGAGAGAACUCCUCCACUAUUAAAUGCAAACUCUCUUUUUGCCACUUGCAUUUAUAAAGGUUUUAAUGGUCAUUGUUGAUGCGGGAUCGGUGAGCCGAGGAGUCGAAAGAAAGAUUUCUUAGACUCUCAAGAUCUGGCAGUAGUGCUCUUUUAUUUAGAAAAUAGUGUGGAAUAGCAUGGGGACAGGACCCAUGGGCAGUCAGAGCUUCUGCUGCCGCCGCUUCUGCUGCCCCCGCUGGCAUGGGGACAGAGCCCAUGGGCAGGCAGAGCCGCUGCUGCUGCCCCCGCUGGCAUGGGGACAGGACCCAUGGGCAGCAGCAGGAGCUCUGACUGCCCGUGGGUCCUGUCCCCAUGCACCAGCUCUGCCUGCCCAUGGGCCCUGUCCCCAUGCCAGUGGGGGCAGCAGAAGCAGCGGCAGCAGCAGCAGCAGCAGGAGCUCUGACUGCCUGUGGGUCCUGUCCCCACGCACCAGCUCUGCCUGCCCAUGGGUCCUGUCCCCAUGCCAGCGGGGGCAGCACCAGCGGCUUUGCCUGCCCAUGGGCUCUGUCCCCAUGCCAGCGGGAGCAGCAGAAGCAGCGGCAGCAGAAGCUCUGACUGCCCAUGGGUCCUGUCCCCAUGCUAUUCUAUACUAUUCUCUAAAUAAAAGAGCAC
rnacentral:lncRNA from 1 species